UGGGGAAUAUUGGACAAUGGGCGAAAGCCUGAUCCAGCCAUGCCGCGUGUGUGAAGAAGGUCUUCGGAUUGUAAAGCACUUUAAGUUGGGAGGAAGGGCAUUAACCUAAUACGUUAGUGUUUUGACGUUACCGACAGAAUAAGCACCGGCUAACUCUGUGCCAGCAGCCGCGGUAAUACAGAGGGUGCAAGCGUUAAUCGGAAUUACUGGGCGUAAAGCGCGCGUAGGUGGUUUGUUAAGUUGGAUGUGAAAUCCCCGGGCUCAACCUGGGAACUGCAUUCAAAACUGACUGACUAGAGUAUGGUAGAGGGUGGUGGAAUUUCCUGUGUUGCGGUGAAAUGCGUAGAUAUAGGAAGGAACACCAGUGGCGAAGGCGACCACCUGGACUAAUACUGACACUGAGGUGCGAAAGCGUGGGGAGCAAACA
rnacentral:rRNA from 1 species